CUUCUUGUCACGGCCUUGCCUGGAUGCUCCCAGCAUCACACACACACACACACACAGGAGGAGAGGAGGUUCUGCGUCCUUACAGUGUCAUCUAACCACACUUUCUUUUGUUCUUUCGCAGAAUUCUGAGUUGCCUCUGCAGCCCCUGUGUCACAUCAGGGGUCUCUGUGUUGGCGUUUCCACAGGGCACAAGCUGCCAUCGUGUGUCUGCGGGGCUCCUGUGGACCCUUCUUGCCCAUUUCCUAACUCCCGUGGGGACGCACGCUGUCCACUGUCCACAGUGAGCCUGUCAGGACAAUUGUCCUUGGGGUCCAGGGAGUAAACAGCCCAGGAUGUUCAUGGCCGUGAGUUUCUUGAAACCACGAAUACACUGCUGUGUUUCUCGAACCUCCAGGCGGUCCACACAGCUCUGUAGCUUUGCCAGGGAGGAUUCCUCUGCUCUUAUCUCGGCUCUGAUGCCCAGGCGGUGCCAGCUGUAAGCUGGGCUGGAGGCGUGUGUUCUGGGGGACAGCAGCCACAUGUGCCCAAGUCUCAGCAGUGGGUGCACAGCUUAAUGAUGUUCUGGCCUUUGCUCCUGGAGGGGACUUUUCCUUCCCCAGGUUGCGGAGGCUGCCAGGCAGGUUCCCUCCCAGUCUGGACAGAGUUCCCCUCCAUCGAGCUCUGCAGGUGGCUUUGCACACCCAGGCAUGAGGGCCCAGCCUCUCUUUGAGCCUGAUGCCUGCAGGAAUGGCCAGUCUGGUCCCUGAUGUCCUCAGCUUCUGUCCGACUCUAGGAGCUGCUUUACCAGUGGCCUGGUGUCAUUGCCAGUGCUGCAUGGUGCCUGUUUAGUUAGCUUUUCUUCCCACCAGCCCCUCAGCGCCAGGAGGGCAAGGCCCAUGGCUUCUCUGUUGAGGCCUCUAAGCUGCCCACACCGUCUAUGGAGAAGAGCAGUUCAGGAUCUUGUUUGUUCAGUGAGAGUUAAAACAUGAAGGGUCAGAGUUCUGGUAGUAGCUUUAACUUGCUACAAUUCCAGGCAGCUUUGUCCCAUCACUUCAUGCCUCUGAUUCCUGAAUUCUAAAAAAUGUAGCUAAUGUGUCUCAGAGGGUGGAGAGGCUUCCUCCUUCACCUGCUGUGUGCCUCCGGCUGUGCAAGGUUGCGGGCCCCCCCCGCGCCCAGCAUUCCUUCAUUAACAGUCCUGUGAGGAGGCAGAGGUAUUAGUGACCUGAUUCUGCAAAUGAGCAGGUACAGAUACUGAAUAGCUUCCUCAAGGUCACAGUGCUCUUAAGUCAGAGAAGCAUAAUGAAAAUGCAGGGCGGCCUCAUUCCACAUUCUGGGUGUGUGUGAGUAUGUGUAUAAAGUGUUGGGGGAAUUCCCAUCGUGGCGCAGCAGAAACGAAUCCAACUAGGAACCAUGAGGUUGCGGGUUCGAUCCCUGGCCUCGCUCAAUGGGUUAAGGAUCCGGCAUUGCUGUGAGCUGUGGCGUAGGUCGCAGACGCAGCUUGGAUCCUGCGUUGCUGUGGCUCUGGCAUAGGCUGGCAGCUCCAGCUCCGAUUCGACCCCUAGCCUGGGAACCUCCACAUGCCAUGGGUGUGGCCCUAAAAGGCAAAAAAAGAAGUGUUGGGGCGGAAUAUACAAGUAUACACAGACUUACACACACCCACCCACCCAUACACCCCUGGAGUAAGACACAUUUAGGAAAUGUAGGGUGAAAAAUAUACAUAUAUCUACAUAUACGUGUAUAUAUAAACACAUAUAAAUAUGUACAUGUGUGAAUAUACGUCUUUUCCCCUGAUGCUUCCUAAAUGUGUUGUACAUGCAUAUGCAUGCAUAUAUACACACAGGCACAUGUAUGUGUGUAUAUAUUUCCCCAUGCCCACUUUCUAAAUGUAUUGUACAUGCAUAUGUGCACACGUGCAUAAGCAUAUACACACAUGUGCGUGUAUAUAUGUACUAUAAAUGUAUAUUCCCUCCGCCCACUUCCUAAAUGUAUUGUACAUGCAUGUGUAUGUAUCUAUACAUACAUGUGAGUGUGUAUACAUAUAUAUCUCCCCCUUCCCAAGCCUACCUCCUAAACGUGUCACACACCAGGGGUGCCUCACUGUAAUUCAGGCUUUGCAGUAAAUGUGAAGUGUGUCUCUGCCCCAACCCUGCCUGGCGUUUCCUUUCUUGGAGUGUUUAGGACCUUUCUGUUGGAGCUCCCUGGGUUCUGGUCCCUCACAGACACCCCUCCCCACUCCCAGGUACCCCAGGUGCCAGUGUGUGUUUCUUGAGCUGAAAUUCUUAAGCCUGCAGGAUAUACCCUAGCUUGUUGAAACAGAUGUAGCGUGCCUGCUUUAGACUGCUUCACAUAUUUUUGAUAUUAUCCUAAUGGUACUUUAACAAGCUUUCAGGUCCUGGUCAGCCAAGCUCAGGACCAGGAAGAAGUGUUUACUAAACAAUGUGAGAAAAAAAUGUAUCUUAAAUGGAUCUUUGGGGCCUGUAAAUCUAUGAUGGAUUAUUAUUCCUGCUUUUCGUGUGUGUGAUAAUUCCUGUUCUUCCUGAGAAUAUUUCUGUCUUUCCUGAUGUAAGUGUAUGGUUGGUGGACCUUUCCUGGUCCUGUGGCACAGCGUGACCUGAAGUAGAGGGUUGACGAAGUCCAGAGAAGGGCGCUUCCUUUUCUCCCCUUGUCCCUUGUGGGGCAGAAGCAGAAAGAGUGGAUGCAGUGAGAUGCCUUUGGAAGAUGAGCUGUCUGCUUGGGUUCUGGAUGGUCCGCUUGUUGGGGCAGGUGCAGCUCACCCUCUCGUGAGCUGUGUGCAUUGUGGAAAAGUGUGGAUGCAGAUUGUUUAUCUGAGGAGCUGAUUUUAGGUGCUGCUAAGUUUUAAGGGUGUACAAGGCUCAAAACUCUGUUCUGUUAGAAGCUCUGUGUCUCCUGAACACAAGCUUGACUCUCCUUUUUAAAAGGUCAGGAAAGGGGAGCGAGAUGCAGGCAUGUUUUAUUACCUGUACCCUCGAGCACAGGCAUGUUUUAUUUGCUGUUGCAUCUCAGGGCCCGACUAGUCCUCGGCUCGAUGGGCGCCCCAGAGCCUCAGCUGGAAGUCAGAGUUUCCAAGCUGUAAAUGUAGGAGUGGAGCAUCGUAAGGCAGUGUCCGCUUGAGACAGACAAGGCUUCACAGCAUGGGCCAUUUCGCUUUUCAGAGUGAAGCUGUGUUUCUCUGAGAUCCUAAGCCCAAAUGGUGAUUUCCUGUUUUAGAGUUGCCAGUUUAUCUUUUGGAAGAGCUUGCAGCAGGUGUGGUUAAUAGGUGAGGGAUUCCCAAUUUGGGGUCUUUGAAGUAGUAGUGUUUGCAGAAGCUGGGUGGAAAUUACUUAUUGAUCUGACAUCAGGCUGCCUGGGCUCUGUGACAGCCAUCUCUACAUUUGGUUGGAGUGACAACGCAAUUAGUGUAAUAACUCAGGACCUGUGGCUUGAGUCUUCUACACCCAAGAGAGAAUAAACUAAGCCACUCCCAGUUUUCCCCUAGGCAUUGAUGGAAACACAGACUCCAGGGUGAGGUGACAAAGAGAUCUGUGCUAGCCGAGGAGUUGGGUGUUGCAGAGAUUCCAGCUGCAGUGGCAGUGGGAAUGCUGAGGGUCUCUUUCUUUGGGGGGCCGGGGAGGGGGUGGGCACAGGAGGAGCAUGGACAAGGUGUCAUCUGAGGACCUCUAUCGGGGGCCAUGAAAAGUGACAUUUUGCUUUGAGGGCUCAUCCUGAGGCUGAGACCCAAGGCUGCUUGCCUUCUGGGACUGGGUUUAGGACAUAGCACUCGACAUAACAUCAGGAGCUUCUUUUUUUGUUGUUUUUUUUUUUGUUUGUUUUUUGCCUUUUCUAGGACCGCACCCUUGGCAUAUGGAGGUUCCCAGGCUAGGGGUCUAAUCAGAGCUGUAGCCGCUGGCCUACGCCAGAGCCACAGCAACGUGGGAUCCAAGCCGCGUCUGUAACCUACGCCACAGCUCACGGCAACGCCACAUGGUUAACCCACUGAGCAAGGCCAGGGAUCGAACCCCCAACCUCAUGGUUCCUAGUCGGAUUCGUUAACCACUGAGCCACGACGGGAACUCCAGGAGCUUCUUAACAGUCCCAGCUGUUUUGCUUUUUUGGAACUUGUCACAGCCUCACCUUGUCCCCAGGAGAGGCCGUCCAGAAAAAUAGUUGCUAGAAAGAGCUGUUUACAGAGGUAGAGAGAGAAUUGUGGUCCUUUAUGUUUUAAUAAUCGUUCCUUAGAUUUCACGGAGGGCAAAAUGCCCUUCAUAGAUUUUAAUAACAUACUUGGACUCUUAGCUUGCACAUCAGAGACCUUCAGUGUGGCUCUUACUCUCUCCACUGCUGUUAUUUUGUAUCCAUGAACAACAGCUACUUUUCAAGUGUGAAGGUGAAUAUUUUUAUUCAGCCAGGCCUAGGGUUGAGCGGAGUUGCUUUCCUGCAGCCUCCUGGACAAUAUGCAUGUCUUCAGCCCCAGGGUUGGGAAGGAACACCAGGCAAGCCCUUCUGCCCAACGUGGGGCAGGUGUUCGUGGGCUGCGGGGCCGUCUGCCUCUGUAGGACUCUCGGCACUUCCAGGAAAGAGAUUCCUGCAGGAUCUUUUGUGUGGCUGUAGNNNNNNNNNNNNNNNNNNNNNNAAAUACCAGAACCAAAACACACGCGUAAUUAUCAUGUUGGCCCUGUUGCAGUUAACCCCGAUUUUGGCCUCAAUUCUGGAAUGAGUCUGCUGGUGCAGACAAAGCCCCUAUUAGGUAAUGAGUUGUUUAUUCCUUCCCUUCCCUUAGUCAUUUGCUUGGGCAGGCAGCGAGAGUGCUCCUACCUGACCUUGAUUCUUGCUCACCACCUCCCGGGGUGACCAUUUCCUCCUCCAGCAGUUCCCUGCUCUGGGUGGAUGUGCUCGACGGAUUUGGUGUCCCCAUCAGGUGCACCUUCAGCCGGGCUUCACCAAGCACUCUGUGUGCAGCACGCACCGUGCCCCUGUGGUAACAAGCAGCCUUAAGCUUCCUGUGUUCUCUAAGGACGCGGGUGAGGAUGUGGGACCUGCAAAGGCCAGGGGUGGGAGGUGCUGCAGGAGGUGGGCUCUGACUUGAUUUGGCACAGGCUCUCUCCCCUAGCGUCUCUCUCCCCUACUCCUUUCUCCACCGCUUAAUGGAACUAUUCUCUAAAACAACCGAAAUCCUACCUUCUGGGUGAACUAGGUUAUUAGGACCAGCUGGUGGGUCUCAGAGAGCAGUGGUUGUCUCUUUCCCCCGACGACCUGGAAUCUCAGCCCUCUGGCUCUCUAGCCCCAGGAAUGGGAAGCUUUAAAACCCCUGUCUCCUUGGAUGCGUUGAGUCAUCAAAGAAAUGUGAUGCUGAGACGGAGCUGGAGGAGGGAAACGGGUGGCCAGGCUGCGUCAUGCUCGCCUCCCACAUAGGCUCUCCUUUCUUAAUAGGCUUCAGAAAUCUGGGGAUGCACAACUCACUGCCAUGGAGUCAUUCCCCUGGGCACACUGGGAGGAAAGAACAGCAGGCUUUUUCUUCCUUGGGUCCCCAGAGGUGCUGCAAAUGUGCCUGCGAACAGUGAUCAGUCUGUCAUUACUGGUCUUUGCUGCCCAUGGAACCAAUACAGGGGCAGAGGGCAGUGCUGUAAAGGUUCCUGGGGCUCUGCCAGGCUGAGUCACAGCUGAUGUAGAGAAAUACUGCCCGGACGCCCUCAGCUCCCUCGCUCCUCACUACCCUGGUCUCAGUGGCCCUCUGCAACUGUACAAUCUGAGGAUGAAUCAGAGUCGGGGAAAGUGUGCAGGAGAGGCUCGCUGGGGAUGAUGUGUGGGGGCUGCAGAACCAUGCUGCCUGUUAGAGCCACACCUGUUCUGCUGGGCCUUCCUCCCUGGAGGCGUGUGGCAUCCUCUCCUGAUGCCAGAGGUCUCGGAGAACAAGGGUCUCUGUGUGGGCAGAUCCAUUCUGCCAACUUUGCCAGGCUCUGUCUCCCGUUGGGCACUGGCACAGACACAUCUUUGCCUUUUCUCAGCGCCGAGUGUGGUGGUGGGUGGGGCAAGCAAGGCUGGCUGGUGGGAAGCAGGUGGCCUCUGCCAUCCACCCCUUUCAGAGCCUGACGUGUCACCUGAGGAGCUUUGAACAAACAGGUCCCCAGGCCCCGUUCUUCCAGAUCCACUGAAUCAGAACCUCCAUGAGGGGUGGGGAAUCUGGACUUCAGACACGGUCCAGGGCUUGUUGAAGAGCAGCUGGACGCCACCACUGCAUGGGCUCAGACUGGCCUUGGACAUCCUCCCAUCAGGACAAGACCCUGAGUGCCAGGCCUCCUGGGCCUCUCCUCACAGGGUGUCUCAUUCAUUCUGAAAUGCCCAUUUCUCCUUCGUUUUAACGUCUCUGAAAUCAGGAUGCAUCUGAUGAUGGUGUUUCACGGUGUCUUGGAUGACACUUUUCUUUGUCUUCCUAAAUAUUAGGGGAAGUUAGUGGCUCGCUCUGCAGCUGACAAGUCUUGGAUCCGAUGACUACAUAGCUUUGCCUGAGCUCUUUGGGGCUGUGUUCUGUCCCAUUCACUUCAUUCUCGUGGUGGCCGGCGUGGAGGAAGGGUGAGGGGGUGCAGAUACGCACUGCGAAAGUGCGGGCUUCUGUGGGUGUCACUGCACUGGGGCUUUAUGGGGCUGACCUCUAUGGUGUCCGCUUUGGGGUUCGUGUCCCAGUGGCCUGUAAGGAUGGACAACUAGUAAGGACAGAGGACCUGGCUCCGUCUGACCCAGACACAGUGCCCUGUUGCCUGUCAGCACACACACUUCAUCUUUUCAGCCUCUGCCACUCACCUUCCUUCUUGGCCUUCCUUGCUGCGGUGGCCGUCGUCGCCAGGGCAGGGAGGAUGGUUCACUUCUUUGGGCCACCCUUGGAACCUGGCUCCUCAGAGGCUGGUCUUGUUAUAAUAGUGUAGCAGCUACACAGCUGACCCCGGGAGACUCCGUGAACCAGGGCCAGUUGUGAGCUGCAAGAUGGCCUGUGUCUUGGACUUUGAGUGAUAACAGAGUUCUGUGUUCCCCACAUAAAUACAUCUCUGGGCAGUGACUUUAUCCCUUUGUAUGUGGCUGUGCCUGUGGAGAGGGCAUCCAGGGCCCAGAGAGUUCAGUGUGAGGAGGGGCAGCAGCGAGGGUAUCACAUGGCUCCUGCUUCCAGGUGCCAGAGCAUCCUUGUGGCCUGGGAGGGAGGGUCCCUGGACACCUGAGGCUCUGUGUCCCUGCAGUUUGCUGAAAGCCACGGGUCAUUUUGCCACUGCCUUGGAAACCUACCCACCCCGCCGGGGGCGCUUCAGGGCUUGUGCAUGUGUUCAGCUUUAGUGCCUGUUCACUUUGUUAUACAUCAAAGCCAUGGGAACAGGUUGGUGUAACAGUGAUGCGUGUCAUCAAGCGUUUCCUAUCAGCCACCGUUGCUGUCCUCAGCCCUCACCUGACAAUCACUCUUGCCAGGCACAGUGCCAGGUGCUCAGUCGGCAGGUGGACUGUACAGGCGGGUGUCCUGGGACAGUCCUAACACACUGCCUUCCUUCUCAUAAGUGCUCCAGUUGGAAUGUUGAGUGUGAGGUCACCCUGGUUUUAUGCAUCCUUACAACCUUGCUUGGAAGAGGUGGCUAGACCCGCCCCAGUCUUCAGUGAUAAAGCAGAGGUCCAGCCCUGAGGGACAGGCCAUUGGAGCCCCGAGCCUAGUGCUCAGGGUGGAACAAAAGGAAGCUGGUUCCCGAAACUUGAUGGCAGUACCAGGAAGGCAGGCUCCCUGGCGUUCCCUCUGGGAGGUGACUUCCAUCUGCAGGGUGGGUGCUCUGAGAAUACCAGGUCUUAAACAUGCAGGAGGUGACCAGCGGGGUGGUGGUGAGGAGAGGCCGUGGCUCAGACACCGGUAAAUGCAGGUGGUUGCUUCCUCGCUGUGGGGUGCGGUGGGGACUCCAGCAAGGGGAUGUGAAUCGUCGUUUCUCCUUGCAGACUGGGGGUGCGUGGGGGUUAGGCUGUUGAUUAAAGAAAAGGGAAUUACAGAGCUCUUAACACUUCCAAAUAGGUUUCUGAUGAUUAAAAGCAGUUUACGUUUUGCUGCUAGAGCAGGAAUUUUGGAGGGGGUUGAUGUGAAUAAUUAAAACAAAAAAAAUCUUCCUGGAAGAUGUUCAUUAGACUUGAGACAUUAAAAAUCAGAAUCAGGGAGUUCCUGUCAUGGCUCAGCAGAAACGAAUCCGACUAGUGUCCAUGAGGAUGCAGGUUCGAUCCCUGGCCUCGCUCAGUGGGUUAAGGGUCCAGUGUUGCGAUGAGCUGUGGUGUGGGUUGCAGAUGUGGCUCAGAUCUGGCAUUGCUAUGGCUGUGGUUAGGCCGGCAGCUGUAGCUCUGAUUUGACCCCUAACCUGGAACCUCCAUAUGCCGUGG
ensembl:lncRNA